CUCAGCGUCUCGGCCAGGCUCUUGGUCACAAACGCCGCCUCGUCAUCCGCCAGCCUCCCCACCAUCUUGAGCCUGUCCCGGAGAGUGCACGAGCAGAGCUCCAAGAUUAGGGAUCCCCACCAGCGGCCCUUGCGCUCCUCCUCGACCAUGUCGUAGAUCUCUAGUGUACCAUGGCAGCCAUUGAGUUUGAGCAUGAUUUCCUUCUCUCUCUCACCCGAUCUCUCGAAGCUCUUAGCCGCUAGCAACUUACCACCCAUUCUAAAGCUUACAAGGUGUACAGUGCCUUGCCCUCCCUUUCCAAGCUCAAAACCCACAUCAUACAUCUUUCUCAAGGACGAGAGCUCCUCGCUCACCACCAACUCACCACUCUCGACCGCUCUCCACACAGUCAUGGCGAUUAAACAACGAGUGUUAGCGUGACCUAAAGGGAGCUGCCUUUAAGUCUUGAUCAAACCAGAUUGAAUUAUGAUCAAGACUUGCAGACCUUUGCGGUGAAUUCCACGACAUAGAGAUUGUUUCCUUUGCUUGUUUCUUUCGCUGUGCCCGUGGCUCCUUCAAAUCUUCUGGUGCCACCAACGAUGGCGAAGAGAGCUUGAGAUCCAGCGGUCGAGCUCCCGGCCUCGCCUUGAAACUCGAGGCUGCUACCAUCAGCAAAGGAGCAAUGCGAGGACUGGAAGCUCCCAGGCCGGUGUUUGCAAGGAUUCCCAUGUAUGUCCCAUGGAUAACCUGGUAUAGCCCUUGGUGGAGACCGAGAAUGGGGCUGCGAAUGUCUGCAUUGAUCCGGUCUACCAGCGUUGUCUUUGGGAAGAACGUAGAACUCGGUUUGGUUGAUCCCCGUGUCCGUAAAUAGGGACUGGCCUUGGAAGGUGUAGGUCUUUCACUGUUUCACAACUUCACAAGAUUCAAAGCAUCGAUAAGAAAAUGGAAUCUAUACCUUGGAGGACGAUGCUGAUGUCGCUAAUGCCAAUGAUCAAGAAGAUCCCAAUUCUAGAGGAGGCCAUUGGCCCCAUUGUGUAGAAUGCUCUAGCCUAGAGCUCUCCAUAUCUUAGAUAAAUAGAUAGAUACCAGAGUACACGUGAAAUACGUGAGCGUCGAUCCAUUAACACUGGGCCGAGGCUGAAGAAGGACGAGAUUGUGAAACAAAACUUGGCAGGAAGAGCUCGUGCAUGUCGCCGUUGGUUUCUCGACACAACAGUCAAGGAUAAUUUGUUCAAUCUCUCAAGUAUAGAACUGUGCAUUUCAUAUUAGUCCCAGCUGCACCAUACAGGGCAUAGACUACAAAAAUUUGAAUUCCCAUAUAAUCUAUAACAAGGAAAAAAAAGGAAUGAGAUCCUAUACUAGUUAUCUACCUUUAAACCUCGCAGCUGGAUCACACUUUAGUCUCCUACAAAAUCCAAGAACCAGGUUCUGCUUCACUUUUUUCACGUUUAAGUUCAUGGCAGAAGGGGCAACAAUUGCUAAUUUUAAUGAGGCUAACGGGAAAGAAUCAUCGAAGCUGGCCCACGAGCAGCUACUAAAACCUUUAAAACCCCUCAUCAAAAUCUUCCAAGAUUCAUGCCACUAUUUUUUCAUGUAUCUAAGAAAUGGAUGAGCAUUAGCGACAUCAUCAUCCUCCAUUUUCUUAUCUAUGCGAUCAAUGAAGACAUUGGCAGCCCCCUCUUAAGCUCUUUUCGCCAUUGUCAGAGGCACCAUAAGGUUUGAAGGAGCCACAGCACUGCGAGAGAAACGAGCAAAAAAACAAAACCAAUCUCUGUAACAAAGAAAUUGUAAAUGAUAAGUAAAAUGACAGGAGUGCCUUUCAGAGGAAUCCUCAUCCUUUGGAACAGCUUUUUCACGUAGGAACCAGUGAAGACUACAACGACCAAAACUAAAUACGCACCCAUUAUUGACCACGAUGCCUUGGUUCCGAUGAAAUCGUAGACCACAUACAGAAGGCUGAAGAGGAGCGGCAACAUCAUCGUAGACAAGCUUGAAAAGAAGAUCAUCCAAAUAGCUUUUUCACCUCAGAAGCGUUUCCUUGUUCGUUCUCACCGAUCGCUAUUAGACACCUUGCCAAUCCAAAUGCUGAGAUGGUUGAAGCAAGAAGGAAGUGGAAGCAACGCCCCUUUUCCACUGGUGUGGCAUUCUCUUUGAUGAGGGAGAUUCCUGACUGGAGGCAUGUAGAAGCCACAAAAGUGAAAGGCGUAAUCAGCAAUUUGGCAAACUUCAAUGCUUCUUUGUUGGGGGCAGCAUUAGCUUCUGCAAUCUUUCCCACUUCUUCCAUUAAACUCAAAGUCCUUUCCCUGCAAGCUGCUGAUUUUGUUGAGCGGGAUGAUGGGAGUGCUAAGAUGGAUCACAUGGCCUUGAUCGACCAGCAAAACACACUAUAUAUUCUUUAGAUUCCGUGGAAUGCCUUGAAUCGGUAUUUGCCGCACGAUAAGCGACUUGCCACAAAUAAUCAUAUGUAUACGUUUCUUUGUUUUGUUCUUACAAGUCAAACUGAAUCUGGCAUUUUGCUACAUGAAUAGCAACGUGAAACAAAUCUCUGCAAAAUGGCAAGUGUCACUUGAUUUUACAUGGGGAUCCGAUAACCUACAAACUGUUUCUUUGUGUCUUGUUCUUACAUAAUCUUGCAAAUCAAGUUCCUGGUAAACAGCUCGCUGGUGUUGUUCACGAUCCAGGGGUGACCAAGCACUUGCUCCACCGUCAGCCUCCGGCUCGGAUAAACCUCCAACAUCCCCAUGAUCAAAUCCUUUGCCUCGCUCGACACAUCACUCCAAUCCAGUGCAAACUCCACAUUGUCCACGCUUUUCAGCAAUAACUCCACAUAAUCAGAGUGGUAUUCAGGGAACGCCACCCUUCCGCUAACGAGCUCAUAUAGAAUGAGUCCGAGCCCCCAAACGUCCACCGCUUGAGUGUAGUAUUUCGGCCAUCCGCCCUCACCAGCCCUGAGAACAUCUGGCGACAUAUACCCAGGGGUGCCACAAAGGUGGUGCAUCUCGUCUGCCCGGUCAGUCGCAACCCCAAAGUCAGACAGCUUCACCUCGUAAGGUUGCGCUGGAUGCGUCAGCAAAACGUUUUCCAGCUUCAUAUCCCUGUGCACCACCCCAAGGUUGUGCAUCUCCCUCAGCGUCUCGGCCAGGCUCUUGGUCACAAACGCCGCCUCGUCAUCCGCCAGCCUCCCCACCAUCUUGAGCCUGUCCCGGAGAGUGCACGAGCAGAGCUCCAAGAUUAGGGAUCCCCACCAGCGGCCCUUGCGCUCCUCCUCGACCAUGUCGUAGAUCUCUAGUGUACCAUGGCAGCCAUUGAGUUUGAGCAUGAUUUCCUUCUCUCUCUCACCCGACCUCUCGAAGCUCUUAGCCGCUAGCAACUUACCACCCAUUCUAAAGCUUACAAGGUGUACAGUACCUUGCCCUCCCUUUCCAAGCUCAAAACCCACAUCGUACAUCUUCCUCAACGACGACAGCUCCUCGCUCACAACCAACUCACCAGUCUCGACCGCUCUCCACACAGUCAUGGCGAGAUUAAACAACGAUUAUUAGCGUGACCUAAAGGGAACUGCCUUUAAGUCUUGAUCAAACCAGAUUGAGUUAUGAUCAAGACUUGCAGACCUUUGCGGUGAAUUCCACGACAUAGAGAUUGUUUCCUUUGCUCGUUUCUUUCGCUGUGCCCGUGGCUCCUUCAAAUCUUCCGGUGCCACCAACGAUGGCGAAAAGAGCUUGAGAUCCAGCGGUCGAGCUCCCGGCCUCGUCUUGAAACUCGAGGCUGCUACCAUCAGCAAAGGAGCAAUGCGAGGACUGGAAGCUCCCCAGGCCGGUGUUUGCGAGGAUUCCCAUGUAUGUGUCCAUGCAUAACCUGGUAUAGCCCUUGGUGGAGACCAAGAAUGGGGCUGCGAAUGUCUGCAUUGAUCCGGGUCUACCAGCGUUGUCUUUGGGAAGAACGUAGAACUCGUUUUGGUUGAUCCCCGUGUCCGUAAACAGGGACUGGCCUUGGAAGGUGUAGGUCUUGCACUGUUUCACA
rnacentral:lncRNA from 1 species